rnacentral:tRNA from 1 species
AACAUAGAAGUAAAAAAUUACAAUUAGUUUCGACCUAAAAUAAAGGAUACAUAAUCCUCAUGUUU